CCCUUAGACGUUCUGGGCCGCACGCGCGCUACACUGACCAGUGCAACAAGCAUCCGUCCUUGGCCGACAGGCUAGGGCAAUCUUUGAACGCUGGUCGUGAUGGGGAUAGACUUUUGCAAUUUUUGGUCUUCAACGAGGAAUUCCUAGUAAACGCAAGUCAUCAACUUGCAUUGAUUACGUCCCUGCCCUUUGUACACACCGCCCGUCGCACCUACCGAUUGAAUGGUCCGGUGAAGCCUCCGGAUUGGCGCGCACCUCGGUGCCGCCGAGAAGUUGGCUAAACCUUACCAUUUAGAGGAAGGUGAAGUCGUAACA
rnacentral:rRNA from 1 species